rnacentral:rRNA from 1 species
UACUAGCGGUCCAAGUCGCAACCAUUUUUAUUGGGUCUAAAACAUCCGUAGCUUGCUUAAUAAGUUUCCUGUGAAAUCUUAUCUCUCAAAGAUAAGGCGUGCAAGAAGUACUAUUGAGCUAGAGACUGGAAGACGUAGGAAGUACGAUCAAAGUAGUGGUAAAAUACAUUAAUCUUGACCGGACUUACAAUAGCGAAGGCAUCCUACGAGGACAGUUCUGACAGUAAGGGAUGAAGGCUAGGGGCGCAAAACGGAUUAGAUACCCCGGUA